CCUUGGAGUAAAGUAGCAGCACAUAAUGGUUUGUGGAUUUUUGAAAAGGUGCAGGCCAUGUUGUGCUGCCUCAGAAAUACAAGG
ensembl:miRNA MIR15A microRNA 15a